rnacentral:rRNA from 1 species
AUGAACGCUGGCGGCGUGCUUUACACAUGCAAGUCGAGCGAGGCGGGGAGCAAUCCCCAGUCGAGCGGCGAACGGGUGAGUAACGCGUGGAUAACCUGCCCUUCAGCGGGGAAUAACCCGGGGAAACUCGGGCUAAUACCGCAUACGAUCGAGAGAUGAAAGAGGGCCGCAAGGCUCUUACUGAAGGAGGGGUCCGCGUUCGAUUAGCUAGUUGGUAGGGUAAUGGCCUACCAAGGCGACGAUCGAUAGCCGGCCUGAGAGGGUGAUCGGCCACACUGGAACUGAGACACGGUCCAGACUCCUACGGGAGGCAGCAGUGGGGAAUUUUGCGCAAUGGGCUAACGCCUGACGCAGCAACGCCGCGUGGAGGAUGAAGGUCUUUGGAUUGUAAACUCCUGUCAGCAGGGAAAAAGCGAGUCGACCUAAUACGUCGGUGAGUUGAUUGUACCUGCAGAGGAAGCCCCGGCUAACUCUGU